rnacentral:rRNA from 1 species
AGCGAACGCUGGCGGCAGGCCUAACACAUGCAAGUCGAACGAACUCUUCGGAGUUAGUGGCGGACGGGUGAGUAACACGUGGGAACGUGCCUUUAGGUUCGGAAUAACUCAGGGAAACUUGUGCUAAUACCGAAUGCGCCCUUCGGGGGAAAGAUUUAUCGCCUUUAGAGCGGCCCGCGUCUGAUUAGAUAGUUGGUGAGGUAAAGGCUCACCAAGGCGACGAUCAGUAGCUGGUCUGAGAGGAUGAUCAGCCACAUUGGGACUGAGACACGGCCCAAACUCCUACGGGAGGCAGCAGUGGGGAAUCUUGCGCAAUGGGCGAAAGCCUGACGCAGCCAUGCCGCGUGAAUGAUGAAGGUCUUAGGAUUGUAAAAUUCUUUCACCGGGGACGAUAAUGACGGUACCCGGAGAAGAAGCCCCGGCUAACUUCGUG